GAGUUUGAUCCUGGCUCAGGAUGAACGCUAGCGGCAGGCCUAACACAUGCAAGUCGAACGGUAACAGAGAAGAGCUUGCUCUUUUGCUGACGAGUGGCGCACGGGUGCGUAACGCGUAUACAAUCUACCUUUUACAGGGGGAUAGCCUUUAGAAAUGAAGAUUAACACCCCAUAGUAAGUAAUUAUGGCAUCAUAGUAACUUUAAAAUUUCGGUGGUAAAAGAUGAGUAUGCGUUCUAUUAGCUAGAUGGUGUGGUAACGGCACACCAUGGCAACGAUAGAUAGGGGCCCUGAGAGGGGGAUCCCCCACACUGGUACUGAGACACGGACCAGACUCCUACGGGAGGCAGCAGUGAGGAAUAUUGGACAAUGGGCGAGAGCCUGAUCCAGCCAUGCCGCGUGCAGGAAGACUGCCCUAUGGGUUGUAAACUGCUUUUAUAUAGGAAGAAACCUUUCCACGUGUGGAAAGCUGACGGUACUAUAAGAAUAAGGAUCGGCUAACUCCGUGCCAGCAGCCGCGGUAAUACGGAGGAUCCAAGCGUUAUCCGGAAUCAUUGGGUUUAAAGGGUCCGUAGGUGGAUAAUUAAGUCAGAGGUGAAAGUUUGCAGCUCAACUGUAAAAUUGCCUUUGAUACUGGUUAUCUUGAAUUAUUGUGAAGUGGUUAGAAUAUGUAGUGUAGCGGUGAAAUGCAUAGAUAUUACAUAGAAUACCAAUUGCGAAGGCAGAUCACUAACAAUAUAUUGACACUGAUGGACGAAAGCGUGGG
rnacentral:rRNA from 1 species